UUAUUUCUGGGAGUAGUAGUGAAGUAUUAAUAUGAAAACAGUUGAGAUGUCCGCCUUAUUUAACCCCUAAACCAGAGGUUUUCAAUGGUGGCUGCACAUUAGAAGCACCUGGGAAUCUUA
rnacentral:sRNA from 1 species